rnacentral:rRNA from 1 species
AGUGAACGCUGGCGGUAGGCCUAACACAUGCAAGUCGAACGGCAGCACAGUAAGAGCUUGCUCUUACGGGUGGCGAGUGGCGGACGGGUGAGGAAUACAUCGGAAUCUACUUUUUCGUGGGGGAUAACGUAGGGAAACUUACGCUAAUACCGCAUACGACCUACGGGUGAAAGCAGGGGAUCUUCGGACCUUGCGCGAUUGAAUGAGCCGAUGUCGGAUUAGCUAGUUGGCGGGGUAAAGGCCCACCAAGGCGACGAUCCGUAGCUGGUCUGAGAGGAUGAUCAGCCACACUGGAACUGAGACACGGUCCAGACUCCUACGGGACGCAGCAGUGGGGAAUAUUGGACAAUGGGCGCAAGCCUGAUCCAGCCAUACCGCGUGGGUGAAGAAGGCCUUCGGGUUGUAAAGCCCUUUUGUUGGGAAAGAAAAGCAGCAGGUUAAUACCCCGCUGUUCUGACGGUACCCAGAGAAUAAGCACCGGCUAACUUCGUG